AGAGUUUGAUCCUGGCUCAGAAUCAACGCUGGCGGCGUGCCUAACACAUGCAAGUCGAACGAGAAAGGGUAGCAAUACCUGAGUAAAGUGGCGCACGGGUGAGUAACACGUGACUAACCUACCCUGGAGUGGGGAAUAACUGAGGGAAACCUUAGCUAAUACCGCAUAAUACCUACGGGUCAAAGGAGCAAUUCGCUUCAGGAGGGGGUCGCGGCCGAUUAGUUAGUUGGCGGGGUAAUGGCCCACCAAGACAGUGAUCGGUAUCCGGCCUGAGAGGGCGCACGGACACACUGGAACUGAAACACGGUCCAGACUCCUACGGGAGGCAGCAGUGGGGAAUUUUGCGCAAUGGGGGAAACCCUGACGCAGCAACGCCGCGUGGAGGAUGAAAUCCCUUGGGAUGUAAACUCCUUUCGAUCGGGACGAUUAUGACGGUACCGGAAGAAGAAGCCCCGGCUAACUUCGUGCCAGCAGCCGCGGUAAUACGAGGGGGGCAAGCGUUGUUCGGAAUUAUUGGGCGUAAAGGGAGCGUAGGCGGUUUUGUAAGUCGUGUGUGAAAUCUUCGGGCUCAACCCGAAGUCUGCACUCGAAACUGCAGGGCUUGAGUAUGGGAGAGGUGAGUGGAAUUCCUGGUGUAGCGGUGAAAUGCGUAGAUAUCAGGAGGAACACCUGUGGCGAAAGCGGCUCACUGGACCAUUACUGACGCUGAGGCUCGAAAGCUAGGGGAGCAAACAGGAUUAGAUACCCUAGUAGUCC
rnacentral:rRNA from 1 species